GAGGCAGGUGCACACAGUUCCUGUCAUGAAUAGUCCAUCCACCUACUUCAAGGGACCAUUCAGGGAAACCGCAGAACCAUCUUCAGGUUCCAACAUAACUUCUUGCCAGACACCAGAAAGUAUCAGCCAUGGAUCUCAUCCAGAAACAGAACAGGAUGCCUGCUCUGAUACCAUUUGAAAUUCUGGUGUAGUCAGAAUUCAGAUGUUCUACUCCAAGUCAUGACAUCUGAUCCAACAUUGUAACUAAUACAGCAAGACAG
rnacentral:lncRNA from 1 species